GUCUCUGGCUCAGGGUGCCCUGAACCCACACCCACCCCCACUCUGGGCAUGGCAGCUGGUCCUGUGGAAUGCAGGCUGCUGCCAGGGUUGCUGGGUAUUUUGGGAUGUGGCCGGGCUGGGGCAGGCCUGCCUUUUCUGGAGGUGGGGGUGGGGAACACGGGUGGUACUCACCCGGGCUCUGGAGCCCGCCCUCCAGCAGCACCGACAGGUGGGGGCUGGGGGCUUGAACCUGGGUCCUUAUGCACUGUAAUGUGUGUGCUCAACACAACUACCCAGCCCUUAAGAUUGAAUUUGGAGCCUCCAUGGAUGUGGCACAAUGGAGAAAGUGAUGGACUCUCACGCAUGAGGUCCUGAGUUUGAUCCCCAGCAGUGCAAGUGGCAGGAGGGGGAGUGAUGCUCCCUCUCCCUCAUCAACGAGUAACAAACUCACAACAGCAAAACAGCCUCCAGCCCCAAAACUUGUAUGCUCCUCCCUCACCA